UGUACCAAUUUUGGCAACCGAUAUCUUGGCUCUCGCAUCCAUGAAAAACGUAACGAAAUGGCAUACUUGGUGUGAAUUGCAAAAUCCCGUGAACCAUCCAGUCUUUGAACGCAAGUUGCCCCCCAAGCCUUUCGGUCCAAGGCACGCCUGGCUGGGCGUCACGCC
rnacentral:rRNA from 1 species